rnacentral:rRNA from 1 species
UACGUAGGGGGCAAGCGUUGUCCGGAUUUAUUGGGCGUAAAGAGCGUGUAGGCGGCCUGGAAGGUCAGCUGUGAAAACUCGAGGCUCAACCUCGAGACGUCGGUUGAAACCACCUGGCUAGAGUCCGGAAGAGGAGAGUGGAAUUCCCGGUGUAGCGGUGAAAUGCGCAGAUAUCGGGAAGAACACCCGUGGCGAAGGCGGCUCUCUGGGACGGUACUGAUGCUGAGACGCGAAAGCGUGGGGAGCGAACAGG